AAUUCGUCGAUUUUGCUCAUUUUCGUCGCCGCGCUUGUUCUUCGCUGUUUGCGAGCGUCGCAGAGCUUUCGUGGACGCGUGGGAGAGUAUUUUGGAAGGUUCUUUGCAACUCUGGACCAGUGAAGUGCUGGUUGGAAGCUCGAGAAGCAGGUCUUCGAGCCUCGUUGAGCUGAACGUGUACUCGUUGAAGCUGGUUUGGAAGUUGUUCUACCCUAAGCGUGAAUGCGAUCGAGCCUUGGAUCAUCGUUAGUUGACUUGUGAGAGCUCUUGGAGACUUAUUUUGAGGUAUUACACUAGUCCCAAAGCAGGGAUUUAAGGGGUUACUUUGUACUAAGUGUAAUUUAGG